rnacentral:lncRNA from 1 species
CGAGAGGAGUGUGAUGAUGACAUGAUUGAACUACUUCAAACACGUGAUCCAAGUUCAUGAUGGGUAAGUCGGAUGCAAGGCGGCGAUGACGAUCUACUCAUGCCGCGUUUCUUGUUCAUCAACAAUUGCUUUGACUUUCUGUCUCUUCUCCAUCUUGAUGGUGAGCUCAUCUACUGACACAUCAUCUAGAUGAUGCUCG